rnacentral:rRNA from 1 species
GGACGGGUGAGUAACACGUGGGUAACCUGCCUGUAAGACUGGGAUAACUCCGGGAAACCGGGGCUAAUACCGGAUGCUUGUUUGAACCGCAUGGUUCAAACAUAAAAGGUGGCUUCGGCUACCACUUACAGAUGGACCCGCGGCGCAUUAGCUAGUUGGUGAGGUAACGGCUCACCAAGGCAACGAUGCGUAGCCGACCUGAGAGGGUGAUCGGCCACACUGGGACUGAGACACGGCCCAGACUCCUACGGGAGGCAGCAGUAGGGAAUCUUCCGCAAUGGACGAAAGUCUGACGGAGCAACGCCGCGUGAGUGAUGAAGGUUUUCGGAUCGUAAAGCUCUGUUGUUAGGGAAGAACAAGUACCGUUCGAAUAGGGCGGUACCUUGACGGUACCUAACCAGAAAGCCACGGCUAACUACGUGCCAGCAGCCGCGGUAAUACGUAGGUGGCAAGCGUUGUCCGGAAUUAUUGGGCGUAAAGGGCUCGCAGGCGGUUUCUUAAGUCUGAUGUGAAAGCCCCCGGCUCAACCGGGGAGGGUCAUUGGAAACUGGGGAACUUGAGUGCAGAAGAGGAGAGUGGAAUUCCACGUGUAGCGGUGAAAUGCGUAGAGAUGUGGAGGAACACCAGUGGCGAAGGCGACUCUCUGGUCUGUAACUGACGCUGAGGAGCGAAAGCGUGGGGAGCGAACAGGAUUA